rnacentral:rRNA from 1 species
AUUGAACGCUGGCGGCAGGCCUAACACAUGCAAGUCGAACGGUAACAGAAAGCAGCUUGCUGCUUUGCUGACGAGUGGCGGACGGGUGAGUAAUGUCUGGGAAACUGCCUGAUGGAGGGGGAUAACUACUGGAAACGGUAGCUAAUACCGCAUAACGUCGCAAGACCAAAGAGGGGGACCUUCGGGCCUCUUGCCAUCGGAUGUGCCCAGAUGGGAUUAGCUUGUUGGUGGGGUAACGGCUCACCAAGGCGACGAUCCCUAGCUGGUCUGAGAGGAUGACCAGCCACACUGGAACUGAGACACGGUCCAGACUCCUACGGGAGGCAGCAGUGGGGAAUAUUGCACAAUGGGCGCAAGCCUGAUGCAGCCAUGCCGCGUGUAUGAAGAAGGCCUUCGGGUUGUAAAGUACUUUCAGCGGGGAGGAAGGGAGUAAAGUUAAUACCUUUGCUCAUUGACAUUACCCGCAGAAGAAGCACCGGCUAACUCCGUG